rnacentral:tRNA from 1 species
GCUCCUGUAGUGUAGUCCGGCCAAUCAUUCCGCCUUUUCGAGGCGGGGACCCGGGUUCGAAUCCCGGCGGGAGCA